rnacentral:rRNA from 1 species
UACGAAGGGGGCUAGCGUUGCUCGGAAUCACUGGGCGUAAAGCGCACGUAGGCGGCUUUUUAAGUCAGGGGUGAAAUCCUGGAGCUCAACUCCAGAACUGCCUUUGAUACUGAGAAGCUUGAGUCCGGGAGAGGUGAGUGGAACUGCGAGUGUAGAGGUGAAAUUCGUAGAUAUUCGCAAGAACACCGGUGGCGAAGGCGCACAUCUGGCCCGAUACUGACGCUGAGGCGCGAAAGCUAGGGGAGCAAACGGGG